AAUGUUAUUCACCAACUCAGACAUCUCUAUUCUUAAUGGACGAGUUGGUUGAAUAGUCCCACCACUUUCGUCUGGUUUAUUUUCGUCUGGUUUAUUUUCAUCUCACAUCCCACAACCAUAUCUACUCACGAUAAUUUUUUUACCCUCACAAUAAAAACUUUCCUAACCUUUCCAAAGUUCCCUAACUAGACACGUUAUAAACGAGCAAGAACUGAUAGCACGUUACUAAUCAAUAAAAUUUAGUUUCAUGACAAUCAAUUCCAAAUCCUAAUUUUCCUAAUACGUCGAUCUUUCUCUGCUCCUAAUGUCUCAGACCCCCCUCCCUCGUACGAUCGCCUGACCCACGCCCUCUUCCUCUUUCCUUUUUCACCGCUGCACCUCCAAAAAAAACCAUCAAUCACGCAACCCCACCUGCCUCUCCCCAACUCCCCAAGCGACAUCCUCUCUCCCCUCCCUGCCGCCCCCAAGACGCCCUCAUCGGCGCACUCUUCAUCGGAGCGCCGUCCGCUGGAAGCCGGAGUCGGGAAGGAGAGCAGCCACCAGCGGGGGAGACCACAAGGGGAGGUGUUGGUUCUUCCUCCGAUUGAUGCAUCGCUCAUGGGGGCACUGCUGGUGGGGGGCGGGGAGCGAUUUGGUGGCCGUGCUGGGGCCCGGCGGCGUGGGCGGGUGCGCUGGAACUGGUCGUGUCGAUGGCGUCGUUCCCGCCAGAGACCACGUUCGUGUGGGUGCUGGCCAGCGGCGGGUGCGCGGGCGGAUCGGUGUGCGUGCCUCUCGACGGUCUGCUCGACCCGGGCGGGUCGAUGGUUGUACGGCUUCCAUGUGCUGCGCACGGCGAAGGGCUUUCGUCGCUCGACGAGGUCAUCCAGCGGUCGGACGAGCUCGUUGGCCAGAUUGGGCAGCUGCCGCCCUCUGCUGAGAUUGUUCACACCAUGGAUGAGAUCUCCAACACUGUUUGCUCGGUCAUUGAUUCAGCGGAGCUGUGCAGGGACACGCACUCAGAUAGCUUAGUUGUCCAUCUACAGACAUUGGUGGUCAUGCCUUGCCCCUCUCUUCCCUCCAAGCUUGCCGCCCUCGCCCCCCUCUUUGAGGUAGCCGCACGUUGCUCAUCUCGGUGGCGUCAGGCGCGGCCGUCUCUACCAUGGCAUCGGUGUGGCCUUCCCUGCAAGGAGCGGCGCCUCCUUGGUACGAUCGCGACACUGAUUCAGCCGAAUCGGCGGGGGUUACUAGGCUCACAGGCUAGCUUUUCCUCGGAUGCAUCGAUGUUCUAAUUGUGAUGGCAUGACCAUAGAUCGUAUGAGUCUAGAAGACUUUGAGGCGGCUCAUCUGCGUGGAUGGUUGUGGCUGGGCACACAAUCCAUUAAUAAUCCUUCAAAUUUUCACACAGAAGGUUGUCCAGAUGAGCACUGGCCACUGGGAAAUGGCAACUUGGUUGAACUGAAUCAGCUCUAAUCUCCUAAAUUUGUGCAUUUAUCUUUAAAAAACACUGCAGUGCUACCUCCCCGUAGUAAUAAAUAAGUAUAUUAUGAAACUCAUAUAUGAUUAUUACUAUUAUUUUUGCACGUUCAAUCAAUUCCACUGAUAAAUCAUUUAUGCUUUUUUAGAACAAGCAUCAAGCAUCAUGUGGCAUUAUAGUCAUUGGUGAAGAUUGACAAUGCACUCAAAUACAAGACUUAUGAUGGUGUUUGGUGACUGAUAAACAUGAUUGGAAAGGUGCUUUCCAAGCAUAAGGGAAAGACUUCUAAAACCAGUGAAGUGUCUUAGCAAGGAUGACACGUCGUUGUGCCUCUCGGCCUGAACAAUAUAGCUCGUUUAGUUCAUCACCACAACUGGCUACACGGCGUGACGGAGCAGCUCCACAUGUCCUACGAGGACACGGAGUCAGCAUUGCACGGCCGUCGUAGGUGAGAGAUCGUGCCAUCGUGCCGCAUGACCCCCGUCGGCUCUAGACUGGUUUGUUGGUUUCUCUCCUUUAGAUGUGGGAUUAGGAACGGAAAAGUCGGUUUGUCGCCAAUUCAUAGAAAAGGAAUAGCCGGUUGUCAAACAAAGGAAGGAGGCUGGCUGGUAAUUGGGACUGGGGCAUUGAGAUUGAAAUUAACAUGUGUCGUGAAUCGACGAGGGUCUCACGGGUGGAACAUAUGAACCGGGCACGUAAGAUUUUUUUCCCGUGAGAGAGGAGGAAUAAUGCGAGAGAGGAAGAUGCGUCUAUGGCUCGAGGGCUACUAUUUCUUGCAAAAGCAGUGGCAGGGUGCAAUCGAUGGAGAAGGAGAGGCUAGGAAGGAAGAAGAGAAAGUAGCACACGAUCUGGACGGGUGGCUGUGCAUGGGCUAUUGUGUUGUGUGCCUGCGGCCAAGCCAAUUGGGAGAGAGGCAACCACCGCAGAGAUAGAGGAAAGAAGCAAUCCAUGCAUGUUGCUCACCAUCAGGGUAAGGUGGGUAGUUUAUGUCGCUAUGUCGUCGCAUCGGACGACUGGGAGCAGGGAAGAAAUUAAAGGAGAAAAUAUCAUAGCGGUAGAGACUGGGCCCAAAAAUUGGCAAGUUCAUCCCAAACCCAUUUUUGAUGUUUCAUGGUCACCUCUCCGUCCGUACACCGAACUAGGAACUCGCAAUUGUUUCUUGUUAUUGAACUAGACAUAAUCAGUCCAUUUAAAAUUGGUACAGAACCAUGCAUAUUUUUGAGUUGAUACAAAAAGACCAAUGGUUUCUUUUUUGCAUUAUUGUCGUCCAGAGUGUAAGAGUUCCAGCCAAAACAAGUUUAUGCCUAACAUUUAGUUAGUAAUGACUGAAAUCUGUUUUCAAAUUUAAGCAAUGAGGAUGUUAGAACUAAAUUAUAGUUCCAGCAUGAAAUUAGGUAAUUUCUUGUAGAUAAUCAUAGUGGUAUAUUUUGUUGUGUUCGGUUAACAAGAAUUAAAAAUAUAGAGAUAUUGUUGAGGAAACAAUAAGUUAAGUGGAUUCAUGGUUGACAAGCAAAGUUAUUUUGGGGAAAGUUCCAUAGUAAUGUUUACGAGCAUUUAGCAUGUGUGUCAUGCUUGUUUUCAGUGGAAUAUUACAUGAUAUGGUUCUAUAGGUUUUGGAGCUUCUACUGGUGUGGGUAGUUAUUUGCUUAAUGGUGUAACUUAAGCCAACUGCAUAAUGACCUUCAUAUGGUUUCGCCAUUGUUUUUUCUCCCGUUGUGCUUGCGUGUUCAAUCUUGUUAUUAUUGCAUCUUGUGGUCUACUCUGAUAGGUCAUGUUUGUUUGUAGGGUGACAUUUUAUACAUCUAGGGAACCAGGGCAAUUUGGACAUGUGAUAUUUCCUCGAGUAAGCAAACUUCUUUUGUAUGGCCCAGCAUGAUGAUCAACACAUCUGGUUUUAUAUGGUGCCACUUUUGUUGUAUACAACAAGCAACUAUUCAUUUUGUGUGCCUUGCAACAACAUCAUAAUCUCAUUAAACCUGCAAUAGAUCCAGUAGUAGAAAAAGGGUCAAAUGUUCAGCUCAUUA